rnacentral:tRNA from 1 species
GCCGGGGUGGCGUAGUUGGUGGCGCGUCGGACUCAUAGGACACUAUGAGCGGACUAACCGUCGAUGUCUGAGACAUCCGAAGGUCGCGGGUUCGAGCCCCGCUCCCGGCA